ACGGGGAGGCAGGGCCUGGGGGAGCCCAGCCCAGCUCCAGCGCCCCUGGUUCCCCGGCGUCCAUCCAGGGAGGCUGAAGGACCUGGGCCCUGGCCAGAGCAUGCUCUGAUCACGGACACAGAUUAGGCUGGGUUCAAGGAUGGGGUCAGUGUCUGACCAGGGGCCAGGGGGACACCUGGAUUUGUAGGGCUGGGGGCUCCCUUGUCUAAGCUUCGAGAGGAGGGGAUUGAAGGUUUAAACUCCAAUGUCGAGCAGGCGCCUGAAAUCCUGGGUCUUGGGGAAGAGGGCUUUGGGCAUGGAGUCCAUAGCAGGACUCCCUGGUAUGAGGUUGGAGGGGCACAGGAGCCUGGACUCCUGGGUCUGAGGAAGGAGGUGACUGGGGCCCAAUCUCUGAAUCUGAUGAAGAUGGGGUUGCUCCAAGGACCUUGGAAAGAAGUCAGAGUCCACUCUUGGGGUCCCUCUAUUGGGAGACUGGAAACUUGAACUUUUGAGCUGUGCAGCAAUGCCUGGAGGCACAGACAAACCCUGCAGAUAACCUGCUGAAGAACUUAGGAAAGAAUGUCGAGGUAUCCAAGACCCCUGACAUCUGGAAGAUCACCAUUUCAGACCAAUUCAGAAGCUAAGAACUCAGAACUAAUUUUUUCCCCUCAACAUUGUACUUUUUACUAUAAGAACUGUCAAUUUUCCUCUUUUCUUGAGAACACUCUGGGUAUUACAUGGUAGUGUUUCUUGUUUUCAAACUCUAAGACCCUUGAAUAAAACUUUGCCACUUUUAAUUUUA